AUUGCCAUCAUUGUGUUGGACAUUUUCUAAUAUAAGUGCUCCGCAAUCAUUAGUACCACACUACCACGAAAAGCUAUUUCUUGUCGGCCACAUAAUAUAAGCUUAUGGUUUCCAUUAUCGGUAUUAAUCUUUUGCAAUUUAAACUUAUUUAUGCUCCACUCAUAUUUGAGUCUAAUUUUUGUGCAAUAUUUUGAUGGUUUUUUGAAUUUGUAGCUAUAUAAAAUAGUCACCUACUCACCUCGUAAAACUUUGGUUUUAUACAAACAUUUUUUAGAAUUUUCUGUGACGAUCUGUGACGAUUACAAUAUACCUAUCUAGCUUAUCUUACCUAUUAAUCCUAAUCAUUAUUACGACGUUAAAGUAUAUUUAUUAAAAGUUGAAUAAAAAAUGUGUUAUUUUGUUGUUGUUGUUAAUGCCCUCUCCUCCAUAUUGAUUUUUGGUAGCCCUGCAGGCUGCAAUCGCUCCCCCUGAUUAUUAAUAUAAUAUCACUAUAAAGACAAAGUAUUUUAAUUUGAUAAUUAAUAUACAUGAAUUUAAUAAUAUAAUAUACAUAAAUGAUAUGGUAUUACAAAAAUACAAAAUAAAUAUUUGAACAACUGAAAAUUGAAAAUAUAAACAAAUUCUUCAAGACAAAUAAUUUAGAUACUAGAAGUAUGAUGACUAAUCAUUUGUGAUACGUGUCGAUAUUAUAAUCGGCUGUACAUUACUAUUAUUGUAUUCUUAUCUUAUUCUGUAUGUGUUAAUUAUGUCUUUAUGAUGACACUUGUAAAUAUUAUAAUGGGUUGUAGAGAUAGUUUAUCUCUAUUAUAAUAUCCGACGAAGUAUACACUAUACGUCUAUACAGGCAUACAGCAGACUGUUGACUGUUGAGUCUUGAGUGGUGAGUGUCGAGUUGCGACUACCGUAGUGCCGUCUAGGAUAGUUUAUAGAUCCUACAAUCACUAGCAGUUUUUGUUUUAUAAUAUCAAGAAAGAUUCGUACUAUGUGUUAGUGCAUACUUAAUUACAGAUUACAGAAAACAACCACGUUAUUCUAAAAAGUUUAAAGUUACUUUAUUUAUAUAUUUUCUUUGUCCUUAACACUGCUACUGUAGUAGCCAUACUAGGAAGAGAGGUGCCUACUAACUGUUAUGUGAAGUCGUGAAACACCAGUUGCUAUUAAUUUGUUUUUUGCACAAGCAAACCAAUUUACUACAUAGUAUAUAGUACUAGGUUUACAUUAUGUCUGAUCAAAAGCCUAGGCAGACCAAUUUCUGUGCCCAAAAACGUUUUUCGUUAUCAUAUGGUGUAUUAAAUACCAUGCGAAGAAAUCAUGCAUUUUGCGAUGUGAUAUUUGUAGUUGGAGGGAAAACAAUAGUAGCUCACAAAGUUAUACUGGCUUCUCACAGUAAUUAUUUUAAUAAAAUGUUUACUGGAAACUUCAAAGAUACUAAAUUGUUGGAGGUGAAAAAUGUAGAGAUCACUCCUAAUUCACUUGAAAUAUUAUUGGAUUUUCUAUAUACAUCAAAAUUAACAAUAAAUGAUUAUUGAUGAUGUGCAGGAUUUAUUAAUGGCAUCAGAUUUUUUAUUGCUCAAUGAUGUGAAAAAGGAAUGUUUAAAUUAUAUAGAACAAACAAUUGAUAUUGAGAACUUUAUGACA